AACCGCGAGAGCGCGCACAACGAAACGACAGUUUACAGUGAUUCAGGUUUUUUACCCGUGGCUUUUACUCCACUAAAGAGGAAAAUGCCAUUUACUUUUGCCCAGUCUGUGCAAAAGUGGCUGCGCUAUGCGCCAGACCGGGCAGGAGGGACUGGACGACAAACCAAUCAGACGUCAGAGGACCAUGAACUGUAAAUUUGCUAAAGAGGACAAAUAAUGAAAUAAGAGGCUAAUAAAAUGAAUUUGUUUUUCCUUAAA